rnacentral:rRNA from 1 species
AUUGAACGCUGGCGGCACGCUUAACACAUGCAAGUCGAGCGGUAACAUGGGUAGUAGCAAUACUAUCUGAUGACGAGCGGCGGACGGGUGAGUAACACGUAGGAACUUGCCCAGUAGUGGGGGACAACCAAGGGAAACUUUGGCUAAUACCGCAUAUACUCGAGAGAGGAAAGCUGCCAGCAAUGGUGGCGCUACUGGAGAGGCCUGCGUCCGAUUAGCUAGUUGGUGAGGUAAUAGCUUACCGAGGCGAGGAUCGGUAACUGGUCUGAGAGGACGACCAGUCACACUGGGACUGAGACACGGCCCAGACUCCUACGGGAGGCAGCAGUGGGGAAUCUUGGACAAUGGGGGCAACCCUGAUCCAGCGAUGCCGCGUGAGUGAAGAAGGCCUUCGGGUCGUAAAGCUCUUUAGGCUGGGAAGAAGGUUAGUAGUUUAAGAGAUAACUAGCUUGACUGUACCAGCAGAAUAAGCACCGGCAAACUCUGUGCCAGCCGCCGCCGUAA